UCCUCUAUCUCUAUACCCCCUCUCUCCGCCCCACCCCUCUCUCUCUCCCGCUCGUCUCUCCCUCGCGUGAGCAGCUACAGCUGCCGAUUCCGGCGAGCUCCGGUGGGAUUCGACGGCGCCCAGCACACCCACGUGACCCCCUCCCCCCGCUCCUCCAUCUCCUCCGACCAGAUCCGACGCGCGCGUGGGAUCAGAUGUUGCUAGUGGUAGUUCGGGGCGUGCGGGCGGACCAGAUCGACCUCAAGACCCUCGACGAGCAGCUCGACCGCCACCUCGCGCGCGCCAGGACUGGGAGGCCGACCCCGCUAGGCUCGUCGUCCGAGGCUUCGUCGCGCGCGGCACCUUCGACACCGUCCACCGCGGCAUCUUCGACGGCCUCGACGUCGCAGGUUUCUUCGUCAUGAUCUGGAUUGCCGCAGUCAUGUUCAAGUCCAAUGAUAUCUUGCGCAAGCAGACCGCUCUCAAGAUACAACGGUCCUGCAUGCUGCUAUGGUGGUCAAGUGUGUGCUGCCUAGGAAAAUAGAUAUUUAGUUUUAGGUCAUUUCUUGUAUUUCAGAUAUGGAGUGCUUGUCUUUAGUUUUUGUUUUUACUUCGUGAAACUUGUUACCUAUGGAUGAAACUGUGUAAUAUUGGUGAAACCAUGUAUAUGUAUUGAUGAAACUUGCUACUAUUGGUAACAUGUGUUGGAUAUCCUAUAUUGGUCAUAUAUAUAUGUGUGUGUAAUAUUGGUGAAA